UAAGGUUCCGAAUGGUGAUUGC
rnacentral:siRNA from 1 species